rnacentral:lncRNA from 1 species
AAUGAUCGAGCUGAAAGUUUGUCAAGACCAGGAGUGAGAUUGUGGACAAAACAUGUAGAUCCGAAGACCCGAGGAGGAAGUGAGUGAAGAGGGGUACCAGGAAAGAGGAUCGAGUGAGGGACUUUGUUAUCAAGAGCAGACGAAGGCAUGCGAUUUAUAAGAUAGCACGCCGUUAGAACAGCAUCGCCCCAAAAGCGAGAUGGUACAUUACCAUGAAGAAGGAGAGUACGAGUGGUUUCAAUAAGGUGCCGAUUUUUGCGUUCGGCUACCCCAUUUUGUUGAGGUGUAUGAGCACAAGAUGUUUGAUGAAGAAUGCCGUUAGAGGUCAUAAAAUUUUGAAAUUGAUGGGACAAAUAUUCACGGGCAUUAUCACUGCGCAAAGUGCGAAUGGAUACACCAAAUUGAGUUUUAAUUUCCUUAUAAAAUUGUUCAAAAAUAGAAAAUAAUUCAGACCUAUUUUUCAUUAAAAAUAACCACGUACAACGGGAAAAAUCAUCGAUAAAGGUAACAAUCAAGAGCAUACGACGGCAUGCGAUUUAUAAGAUAGCACGCCGUUAGAACAACAUCGCCCCAAAAGCGAGAUGGUACAUUACCAUGAAGAAGGAGAGUACGAGUGGUUUCAAUAAGGUGUCGAUUUUUGCGUUUGGCUACCCCAUUUUGUUGAGGUGUAUGAGCACAAGAUGUUUGAUGAAGAAUGCUGUUAGAGGUCGUAAAAUUUUGAAAUUGAUGGGACAAAUAUUCACGGGCAUUAUCACUGCGCAAUGUGCGAAUGGAUACACCAAAUUGAGUUUUAAUUUCCUUAUAAAAUUGUUCAAAAAUAGAAAAUAAUUCAGACCUAUUUUUCAUUAAAAAUAACCACGUACAACGGGAAAAAUCAUCGAUAAAGGUAACAAAAUAUCUAGACUCAGGUGUGGAAAUAGUACGAGAAGGACCCCAAACAUCUGAGUGAACUAAAGCAAAUGGGGAGGAAGCUCGUUUAUUAGCUCGACCAGUGAAAUGACUACGAGUGUGUUUCCCUAAUUGACACGACUCACAAUUUAAGCUAGAUAAUUUGGUUAGAUUAGGUACUAAUUGUUGAAGUUUGGGAAGACUCGAAUGACCUAACUGAGCAUGUAUAGUAAGAGGAGAAUAUGUGGUAGGGCACGCUGUUGAUGGGUUUGAGAGAUAAUAAAGACCAUUAGACUCACAUCCGACACCAAUUUGUCGUCCUGAUAUUCGGUCUUGCAAAGUAACAUUGCAAUUAGUAAAUGUGAAAACACAGCCAUGAGAACGAGUCAAUCGACUGAUAGAAAUUAAAUUAAAUGGACAUCCAGGCACAUAAAGGACAAAUUUAACUAACAGAGUAGGGAGGAUUUGGACAGUGCCAAUCCCUUGAGA